ACCUACUGUUUAAUUUUGAAAGUUCUUUAUGAACUUCAUAUUUGGGGGUGUAGCUCAGUUGGGAGAGCACUUGCCUUGCAAGCAAGGGGUCAGGAGUUCGACUCUCCUCAUCUCCACCAUUUAAGAGCAUAUUACUCAAAUCUUUGAUUUAUCUAGUAGUCUCUUACAUUGCACUUUAAGCUUAUUUUUGUACAAGCUUGUGUGUUAGCACUUUAAGCAACGGGAUUUAUCCGUUGGCGACGUGCUUUAGCACUUUGAAAACUGCAUAUAUAUUUAGUGAUAUGACAUCUAAUUUGUAAUAUAUAAAGCUGAUAACUUUUAAAAAUUAUCAAGUUGAUAGACUUUAAUCUAUCAAACCUUUUUAACUGGUCAA
rnacentral:tRNA from 1 species